rnacentral:rRNA from 1 species
GACGAACGCUGGCGGCGUGCUUAACACAUGCAAGUCGAACGGAAAGGCCCUGCUUUUGUGGGGUGCUCGAGUGGCGAACGGGUGAGUAACACGUGAGUAACCUGCCCUUGACUUUGGGAUAACUUCAGGAAACUGGGGCUAAUACCGGAUAGGAGCUCCUGCUGCAUGGUGGGGGUUGGAAAGUUUCGGCGGUUGGGGAUGGACUCGCGGCUUAUCAGCUUGUUGGUGGGGUAGUGGCUUACCAAGGCUUUGACGGGUAGCCGGCCUGGGAGGGUGACCGGCCACAAUGGGACUGCGAUACGGCCCAGACUCCUACGGGAGGCAGCAGUGGGGAAUAUUGCACAGUGGGCGGAAGCCUGAUGCAGCAACGCCGCGUGCGGGAUGACGGCCUUCGGGUUGUAAACCGCUUUCGCCUGUGACGAAGCGUGAGUGACGGUAAUGGGUAAAGAAGCACCGGCUAACUACGUG